rnacentral:SRP_RNA from 1 species
UUUUGGUCCUCUCGCAUCGAUAAUUCUUUGACCUGGUCAGGCCCGGAAGGGAGCAGCCAAGGGGAACGACUCGAGUGCCGGGAUGUGGCUGAUUGGA